CAGCAGCCACGGGAAUACGUAGGUGGCAAGCGUUAUCCGGAAUUAUUGGGCGUAAAGCGCGCGUAGGCGGUUUUUUAAGUCUGAUGUGAAAGCCCACGGCUCAACCGUGGAGGGUCAUUGGAAACUGGGAAACUUGAGUGCAGAAGAGGAAAGUGGAAUUCCAUGUGUAGCGGUGAAAUGCGCAGAGAUAUGGAGGAACACCAGUGGCGAAGGCGACUUUCUGGUCUGUAACUGACGCUGAUGUGCGAAAGCGUGGGGAUCAAACAGGAUUAGAUACCCGCGUAGUCCCUGUCUCUUAUAC
rnacentral:rRNA from 1 species